rnacentral:rRNA from 1 species
CACGUAGUUAGCCGGUGCUUCUUUACCCAUUACCGUCACUCACGCUUCGUCACAGGCGAAAGCGGUUUACAACCCGAAGGCCGUCAUCCCGCACGCGGCGUUGCUGCAUCAGGCUUCCGCCCAUUGUGCAAUAUUCCCCACUGCUGCCUCCCGUAGGAGUCUGGGCCGUAUCCCAGUCCCAAUGUGGCCGGUCACCCUCUCAGGCCGGCUACCCGUCAAAGCCUUGGUAAGCCACUACCCCACCAACAAGCUGAUAAGCCGCGAGUCCAUCCCCAACCGCCGAAACUUUCCAACCCCACCAUGCAGCAGGAGCUCCUAUCCGGUAUUAGCCCCAGUUUCCUGAAGUUAUCCCAAAGUCAAGGGCAGGUUACUCACGUGUACUCACCCGUUCGCCACUCGAGCACCCCACAAAAGCAGGGCCUUUCCGUCGACUUGCAUGUGUUAAGCACGCCGCCAGCGUUCGUCCUGACGCCAGGACUACGAAACUCGUA